CCUACGGGUGGCAGCAGUGAGGAAUAUUGGUCAAUGGGAGAGAUCCUGAACCAGCCAAGCCGCGUGAGGGAAGACGGCCCUAUGGGUUGUAAACCUCUUUUGUCGGAGAACAAAACCCGGGACGUGUCCCGGACUGCGUGUCUCCGAAGAAAAAGCAUAGGCUAACUCCGUGCCAGCAGCCGCGGUAAUACGGAGGAUGCGAGCGUUAACCGGAUUUAUGGGGUUUAAAGGGUGCGUAGGCGGUCGGUUAAGUCGGCGGUAAAAUUGCGGGGCUAAACCCGGUCGGGCCGGUGAAACUGGCAGGCUUGAGUUGGCGAGAAGUAGGCGGAAUGCGUGGUGUAGCGGUGAAAUGCAUAGAUAUCGCGCAGAACUCCGAUUGCGAAGGCAGCGUACCGGCGCCAGACUGACGCUGAUGCACGAAAGCGUGGGGAUCGAACAGGAUUAGAUACCCCUGUAGUC
rnacentral:rRNA from 1 species